UGUUAGCCUUGAGCAAAAGAAGCCAGGGACAGUGCCCAGGCCCUAAGUUCAAGCCCCAGGACUGGUAGGGGAAAAAAAGAAAGAAAAAUUGAAUGGGGAGGGGUCAGAAGAGACGGCUACUGAGUUAUUUUCACUUGCAUGACCUUCUGGCCUUUUUAAUUCUGCAUUUUAUAUAUGCAGACAACAAUACAGAAAUACGUAAAAUAACUACAGGAAAAGUCCUAGUUCAAUGGCAAGAAGACAGAAUGACAGACAGAAUACUUCCAGCUAAACUUCUCUGGCCCCAAGAAAAUUCUGAGAGAUCCUUGCUGCAACAGCCAUGUCUUCUUCACCCUUCUCCAUCACGGAGCACAGGGCCUAGCAUGGAUUAGCGACUCAGGGAAAGUCCACACAAAAUGUCUCUUCCCCCAGUGUGGGCCAAUGGAUGGAUGAUGCAGAGUAAGACAAAUUUCAGCAUGGUUUAAAAAUUACUAAUAGUUUGUCCAAACAGGAAAUAAGUUGAUGAGACAGAUUGUGAGCUUCCCAUCAGAGAAGUAGUCAAGCACGUUAUUAGAUUAUGGUUUGCUGAGGAAUACAGCACAAGGACUACCGUACCAGGCAGUCAGGCAAGACAGGGAUUGGCAAGCUUCUCCCACACAGAAAGUAUUUUAGGCACUAGGUCACAGACAGUUCCUGUCAUAUUUUCUUCUCUCUUUUUAAUAAGAAAACCUGGGUGGGGGGGGGGGGAAUCAUCCUUAGUUCAUGACUAACAGAAAAGCCAAGGGUAGGGUGUGGCCUACAGGUGUAGCUUGCCAACCCACAGACGGGACGGAUCUUCUUUGUUGUUUUGGUAAGCUCUGAAGGGGCCAGUUCGGCAUGUUGCAGGCUGACUAUUUUACAGCACAGUAGAAAUCAGAAAGGUCUGUUGAGGUCAAAGCAGACUGCAAGGCCAGAUUCAAAGGCCACAUUGGCGUGCAGCUUGUAAUGACAGAGAGACAGAUGGGUGAGUUCGUUUUGUUUGUUUUUGAGAUGGACUGUUGCUGCUUAAGUACCUCAGGAUGGCUUCAAAACAUCAUCUUCCUGCCUCAGCCUCCGAAGUGCUGGAAUUAAAAAUGUGCACUCCCAUAUCUAACUCGUACAUCUAUAAUAAACUGGUAAAUCCAGUGUACAAGGGAGCACUUUCAUACUUCCACCCAGGCAUCAGCCUCAUUAAAUCAAGAUGAAGCGCACUUGAGUUUAUUGAGAGUCACCACAAGCUCGAGCCGUCCUGUCCCCACGCCUCCAGCGGUUUCCCUCAUGCUUUCCCAGGGCUCCACACUUGCCUCCAGCUUCAAUACUCAGCUCACGGCUCUGCCACCCCUCCAGCUCUGCUUGCUGCUCAGGAAACCAGAGCUGCCUGAUGCUCCCGCUGCCGGCCCCUCCUCUCAGCUGCAUGGCGAGCGGUCCGCUCCUCCCUCACUGUUCUCACGCCUGCCCGGCUAGUGUGAAACCUCAGCUCAGAGGCAUGUCAGCCUCCCCAGAGCUCUCCCACCACCGCCACCCUGCCCUUCUCUCCUCCCCCGGAUUGGCAACAGGCCAACACUUCUGAAUGCACACACUUCCACAUUUGGCAUUCUCGACAUCCCUAGUCCCUGGCAGAGGGGCUCUCAAAUGUCAUUAAGAUGAACUCUAGAACCCUUUCUGGGUAUCUUCCCCAAGAGACAGUGUCACUGUGACUGAAAGGGCAAACUCCAGUUGCGCAUUCCGUGGAAGGGCUGGAGUAAGAAACCCUAAGGAAUACAUGGGGGCAAGCCGCAUGGCGCAGAAGCUCUAUGAUCUAUUGCCACCUGGGCUCCUGUUCUGGGAAGCAGGCACAACUAAAGUCAGAGAGAGCAUAGCAGCUCUGAAGGGAAGGUGAUGAGCUGAGCCCCUCAUCUGUGGGCCCUGAGGAUGGCACUCGGGGCAGGCUAAGCCCAGGAGCCAGAGCAGGGGUCAUAGGCACAGACAGCCUUGAGGUCACCGCUUGGAGAAAACUGGCACUUCUGGGAAAAGGUCAGCACACAAGCAGGAUGAGGGCAGGAAGGGAAGGACGACCUCAGGAAAGCCAGAGGGGCUAAGAAGUGAGAGGAUGGGGCGGGGGUGGAGGGGCCUGGGCGAGGCAGAGGUCUGAGACCCAUGGGGAAAGCCAAUUUGGGUGAGUAGUGGAAGGAAGCAGGAAGAGAAGCCUGAUGCGGGGGAGAAGCACUACCUGGGCAGAGAGCAGGCCUGAGGGAGAGGAAACAGAGGACACUAAAGAUGGGAAGGCCAAUGACAGUAAGGAGAUGCAACAAGGCAAAGGAGACGGGAUCAGGGGCUUGGAGAAGCACAGGGCCCACCUUCGCUGGCUAGCUGGAACAAAACUGACAGAGGUUAGAAGAGGAAGCAGAAACGCCCCAAGUGACAUUUGCAACAUAAUGAAGUAAAAGACAGGAGAGACGGAGAGGAGGAACCAGAACAGGGGCACACAGGAACUGGGCAGGCCAACUGCUGAGGCCGCAUGGGGCACAGAGGGCCUGGUUGCCUAGAAGAGGACACAGUGUGACUGUGACAAGAGCAUGCCACCUACACUGUCCCUG